GAUCCUGGCUCAGGAUGAACGCUAGCUACAGGCUUAACACAUGCAAGUCGAGGGGAAACGAUAUUGGAAGCUUGCUUCCGAUAGGCGUCGACCGGCGCACGGGUGAGUAACGCGUAUCCAACCUGUCCACCACUUGGGGAUAACCUUGCGAAAGUAAGACUAAUACCCAAUGAUAUCUCUAGAAGACAUCUGAAGGAGAUUAAAGAUUUAUCGGUGAUGGAUGGGGAUGCGUCUGAUUAG
rnacentral:rRNA from 1 species